GACGUAGGGCGCGAGCGUUGUCCGGAUUUCUUGGGCGUAAAGCGCUCGUAGGCGGCUUGUCGCGUCGGCUGUGAAAUCCCGUGGCUCAACUGCGGGUCUGCAGCCGAUACGGGCAGGCUAGAGUUCGGUAGGGGAGACUGGAAUUCCUGGUGUAGCGGUGAAAUGCGCAGAUAUCAGGAGGAACACCGGUGGCGAAGGCGGGUCUCUGGGCCGAUACUGACGCUGAGGAGCGAAAGCGUGGGGAGCGAACAGG
rnacentral:rRNA from 1 species